AGAAUGUGGACCUAAAAAUAGAAGUUCAACUCUUCUUAGUGACCGA
rnacentral:tRNA from 1 species